rnacentral:lncRNA from 1 species
AAAUAUAACCCACAAAAAAUAAUAGUUUUGCUUCACUUACUUCGCCUACAGUGCCAGGGGGAUGGAUUUAAUGAUCUUAUAGGUCUUUUCAAUCUCUCUAAUAUUUGUGAAAUGGCAACUGUCAAUGUUAAACAAGAAAUUGCUGAAAUGGCACAACUUUUUGAAAUGGAUAUUCUCUCAUAGGACCAGAGCCCAGGAAUGGAAAGAACAACCAUAAACCUCACUGAAACUCAUCUCAACAGGAGGCCAACUUUACUCUUCAGCUAAUAAAAACAACCACCUUUAAAAAUGCAACCUGUCAAACCACAUCAUGUUGAAAGGAAGCCCUCUCAAACUCCAGCUGCUGUUUUGUCUUUGAAGACUAGAGUAAAGAAAAAGGUGAUAAAUGGAUGGAGUAUCCAGUGUUCCAGCUGUCCCAGGACUCCCCAUGAGGUUUACUUAAAGCCCUUCUUACUUAGAAAUUUCUCCUUACACAAUCAUGG